UACGAAGGGGGCUAGCGUUGUUCGGAAUUACUGGGCGUAAAGGGCGCGUAGGCGGCGUGUCAAGUCAGGCGUGAAAGCCCCGGGCUCAACCUGGAACCGCGCUUGAGACUGGCAUGCUCGAGUUCGGGAGAGGAUGGUGGAAUUCCCAGUGUAGAGGUGAAAUUCGUAGAUAUUGGGAAGAACACCGAUGGCGAAGGCAGCCAUCUGGACCGACACUGACGCUGAGGCGCGAAAGCG
rnacentral:rRNA from 1 species